rnacentral:rRNA from 1 species
UGGGGAAUAUUGCACAAUGGAGGGAACUCUGAUGCAGCGACGCCGCGUGAGUGAUGAAGGAAUUCGUUUCGUAAAACUCUGUUCUAUGGGAAGAAAAGGACUGUACCAUAGGAGAAAGCUCCGGCUAAAUACGUGCCAGCAGCCGCGGUAAUACGUAUGGAGCGAGCGUUGUCCGGGAUUAUUGGGCGUAAAGGGUGCGCAGGCGGCUUUACAAGUUGGAUGUGAAAUAUUGUGGCUCAACCACAAACGUGCAUCCAAAACUGUAAAGCUUGGGUUAAGGAGAGGUAAGUGGAAUUCCUGGUGUAGCGGUGGAAUGCGUAGAUAUCAGGAGGAAUACCGGUGGCGAAGGCGACUUACUGGACUUAAACUGACGCUCAGGCACGAAAGCGUGGGGAGCAAACAGG